UGAGGAAUAUUGGUCAAUGGGCGAGAGCCUAAACCAGCCAAGUCGCGUGAAGGAAGACGGCCCUACGGGUUGUAAACUUCUCUUGCAAUGGAAUAAAAAGAGUUACGUGUAAUUCAUUGUAUGUACAUUGCGAAUAAGGAUCGGCUAACUCCGUGCCAGCAGCCGCGGUAAUACGGAGGAUCCGAGCGUUAUCCGGAUUUAUUGGGUUUAAAGGGUGCGUAGGCGGACUGGAAAAUCAGCGGUGAAAGUUUGCAGCUUAACUGUAAAAUUGCCAUUGAAACUGUCAGUCUUGAGUGCAAAUGAGGUAGGCGGAAUGUGUUGUGUAGCGGUGAAAUGCAUAGAUAUAACACAGAACACCAAUUGCGAAAGCGGCUUACUGGGAUGCAACUGACGCUGAGGCACGAAAGCGUGGGGAUCAAACAG
rnacentral:rRNA from 1 species